rfam:Dipodomys ordii contig_93768, whole genome shotgun sequence.
GGGAAGGUAGCUCAGUGGUAGAGUGCUUGCCUUGCAUGCAUGCGGCCCUGGGUUCGAUUCCUUAGCACCA